rnacentral:tRNA from 7 species
GGUCCUGUACGUUCAAUUGGAUAGACGGCUGGAUUUCUACUCCGGAGGUUGGGUGUUCGAGUCACUCCAGGAUCGCCA